AAGUCGUAACAAGGUCUCCGUUGGUGAACCAGCGGAGGGAUCAUUACAGAGUUGUAAAACUCCCUAAACCACUGUGAAUAUACCUGUUUCGUUCCUUCGGCAGGCGGCCCUUGGGGGGGCUUCGCCGUUACUGGCGUCUGCCGUCGGACAAACCAAACUCGGUUAUUUUAGCGUAUUCUCUAAGCAACUAAAAAAACAAGUUACAACUUUCAACAACGGAUCUCUUGGUUCUG
rnacentral:misc_RNA from 1 species